CAUCACAGUAAGGUAAAGGAUGUUGACUUAAAACAAAGGCCAGGCAAACAAUACCACAGGGUUAAAACCAGCUAGCAAGUAUUUGUACCAUCCAUUUCCCUAAAUUACCACCUACCAAACAUCCAGGGAGUUGAGGCUGGGAGUCAACUCUCUCUAUCCUCCCUGCCUCCAUCUCUAUCACAGCAGAAGGGGUCCAGUAAAGGUUCACUCACAAGAAGAUGCUAGGACCUUAGAGUAUAUGCAGCAAGUGAUAUUUACCUUUUCUUUGGGCUUCUCAGAACAGCAACCAGAAAGUACAGUGGAGAUUGAUGCUGCCUCUUCUCAUAUACAGUAGCAACAUAUUUUUGGAGCUGAAGACCUCUCACUCCGCUUCCACUUUUGCUGCCCCUAUUCUGCCAUGAGUUUAGCUGCAGCUGAAGGAAGCCUUCUUGAUUCUGCAUCCAUCUUUUCCUUGGCUCUAGUUUCUGAUCUUGUACCUGAAACUACUUCUGGUCUCUUUUACAAGACUCAUCCCACCUCCACUGAUGACCAAAGAUGCUUCUCUCCUAUCAGAAUUCACACGGUUUGGUUGACACCAUCAUGCCAACAGCUAAAUAUCCCAGGAUUUAUGGACAAAUUGAAAAGGAGAUGGAAACAUGUCCACUAAUGACAGAGGAGAUCUUUGCUGCCCCCAUUACACGGGACAAAUGGAUCAGAGGGUUACAAAACAAAGUGUUUUGUGAGGGCAACAAGGCUACGAAAGCAUCUAGUUCUUUUGGACCAGGAGGUCUCAGCAUUUCACAGAACACCAUUCACUCAUACUGCCAUAUAAGUAUUCCUCAAGCCAAUGAGGGUCUCAGUGCUCAGAACAUUUUCAGGGGGCUCUGCCUGCUGCCUGCCCAUAGGAAGCUUUGGGGAACCUGCCUUCAGAAACCCAAGUAGAUAAGGAAUUGAAAAGCCGGGCUUUUUAUUGGAGGGCAUGUGCAAGUACUGUAUAAUGCUUUUCUAUUCUGUUUACUUUGUGACAAAGAAAAGGUCUUUUGGUUGACUGAUGAGGCAAAAAUAAAAAUAGAUACAAAAAAAACUUCAAUUGAGAAACUAGCUCUUUUUCCUUCCUGAUAGUCAUUAAAUUAGGAUAGAGUAAGGAAUGACAACUCUUGAGUUCUGAAAGGUUUUGGUAGGUUACUAGUUGUCUUUCCUUCUAACCAAUCAGUUCCUGAGCUCACUCUCCUAGGUAAACUUGUGUCUGGAUGAGAUACCUCUUGUUGGCGUCUUCUUUCCUUUGGUACAAGACCUUAUGAAAUCUUGAAAGGAUAAAAUAGCCACCAAGUCUUGUGGCUGAGUUUGGGAAAGAGCCAGGUAUGAGGGAUGAGCUGCUUGACACCCAGCCCAGCGGUGGAUUAACCUGACAGCUGAGAAAUUCAUGCAAGCAAGGGACCAGUCUAUCGGUUAUGAAGCACAUGAAACAACUCACUGGUGGGAAGAAUGUUUUUAGAUGCCAUUUUAAGUUUGAGCCCACUCUCCCCAAGGACUAAAAAUAUAGAGGAGAGAGUAUGUCCAGGUUUAGAGGAACUUUUUUGUACUUUGUUCUUACUAUAUAUAACCUUUCAGUAAAUAUGCCUUUGCAACAACUAAUUGAUGUCAGUUGGUUAAUCAAUAUUGAGAAAAUAGUUAAAUUGAUAGUGGGGAGCACUAAUCACUAGUCUUGAUGAUAUUGAGAUAUUAAAUGGCACUAGCAAAGCAUAUAAUGGGCAAAAUAUACUUGUAUGGAGGUUCAAACUUAAAGCAUUAGAGAAAAAUCUUAUAAACUCUUUGGAUUCCUUCUAGAAUCCUGAGGGAAAUAUAGAGAACAAGCUCUGGGACCCUAAAUUUGUUAGUAUGCCUCAUCGAGAGUAAUUCUCAGAGUUUCCCUGUUAUUCCAGUAUAUAUUAUUGUCUCCUAAUAGAAACAUAAGGCAAGCCCAUCCUAGAAUGAUGGUUUAUUCAGGAGACCAUGUGCUCAUGAGCUAGCUCCAUGGAAGGAAGGACACCUAACCUCCUCAGCCCCCAAUCUCCAAUUCCCCCCACUCCCAGUCUUCCAGAUCUCAGAGUCAACCUUAUGCUAAGUGGUGUCCACAAGAAGGAAAGACGACAUUUCAUCACAGGGAUACUUGCAGCUUUUUUGGUAUGUACAUUUCAGUUCUGAUUCAAUCAAAAGACCUUCUCUUUACCAUACAGUAAGCAUGCCCUUAUAUAGUCAAGCCUGCCUUGAAAGGGAGAGCCAGAUCUGUCUGUCCUAUGUCAUUCUGGAUUUCCAGAAGCAGGUUCCCCAGGGCUUCAUUUGGGUUGUCAGCAAGCAGAACCCACUGCACUAGCUCCUGAGAACUGGGCCCUCAUGGGCCAGACCUGUUGUUACUACACUCAACUAUUUAUUUAGAGCCAUUAUCUUUUAGGUGAGAUAGUCUCAAAGCAAUAGGGUUCUAUUAUGUUUCUCUUUGAGACUUAGUUCACACCUUGUAGUAUCACAGUAGUAU
ensembl:lncRNA